AGAUUGAACGCUAGCGGGAUGCUUUACACAUGCAAGUCGAACGGCAGCGCGGACUUCGGUCUGGCGGCGAGUGGCGAACGGGUGAGUAAUAUAUCGGAACGUGCCCAGUCGUGGGGGAUAACGUAGAGAAAUUUACGCUAAUACCGCAUACGAUCUACGGAUGAAAGCGGGGGAUCGCAAGACCUCGCGCGAUUGGAGCGGCUGAUAUCAGAUUAGGUUGUUGGUGAGGUAAAAGCUCACCAAGCCGACGAUCUGUAGCUGGUUUGAGAGAACGACCAGCCACACUGGGACUGAGACACGGCCCAGACUCCUACGGAGGCAGCAGUGGGAAUUUUGGACAAUGGGCGAAAGCCUGAUCCAGCAAUGCCGCGUGCAGGAAGAGGCUUCGGUUGUAAACUGCUUUGACGUAACGAAAAGCUCUUACUAAUAAAGAGGACCCAGUGACGUACCGUAAGAAUAAGCAACCGGACUAACGUACGUGCCAGCAGCG
rnacentral:rRNA from 1 species